rnacentral:rRNA from 1 species
UCUUCUAGCUUGCUAGAAGUGGAUUAGUGGCGCACGGGUGAGUAAUGCAUAGGUUAUGUGCCCUUUAGUCUGGGAUAGCCACUGGAAACGGUGAUUAAUACUGGAUACUCCCUACGGGGGAAAGUUUUUCGCUAAAGGAUCAGCCUAUGUCCUAUCAGCUUGUUGGUGAGGUAAUGGCUCACCAAGGCUAUGACGGGUAUCCGGCCUGAGAGGGUGAUCGGACACACUGGAACUGAGACACGGUCCAGACUCCUACGGGAGGCAGCAGUAGGGAAUAUUGCUCAAUGGGGGAAACCCUGAAGCAGCAACGCCGCGUGGAGGAUGAAGGUUUUAGGAUUGUAAACUCCUUUUGUUAGAGAAGAUUAUGACGGUAUCUAACGAAUAAGCACCGGCUAACUCCGUGCCAGCAGCCGCGGUAGUACGGAGGGUGCAAGCGUUACUCGGAAUCACUGGGCGUAAAGAGUGCGUAGGCGGGGUAAUAAGUCAGAUGUGAAAUCCUGUAGCUUAACUACAGAACUGCAUUUGAAACUGUUACUCUGGAGUGUGGGAGAGGUAGGUGGAAUUCUUGGUGUAGGGGUAAAAUCCGUAGAGAUCAAGUGGAAUACUCAUUGCGAAGGCGACCUGCUGGAACAUUACUGACGCUGAUGCACGAAAGCGUGGGGAGCAAACAGGAUAGAUACCCUGGUAGUCCACGCCCUAAACGAUGGAUGCUAGUUGUUGCCUUGCUUGUCAGGGCAGUAAUGCAGCUAACGCAUUAAGCAUCCCGCCUGGGGAGUACGGUCGCAAGAUUAAAACUCAAAGGAAUAGACGGGGACCCGCACAAGCGGUGGAGCAUGUGGUUUAA